AUUGAACGCUGGCGGCAUGCCUUACACAUGCAAGUCGAACGGUAACAGGUCUUCGGAUGCUGACGAGUGGCGAACGGGUGAGUAAUACAUCGGAACGUGCCUAGUAGUGGGGGAUAACUACUCGAAAGAGUGGCUAAUACCGCAUGAGAUCUACGGAUGAAAGCAGGGGAUCGCAAGACCUUGUGCUACUAGAGCGGCCGAUGGCAGAUUAGGUAGUUGGUGGGAUAAAAGCUUAUCAAGCCGACGAUCUGUAGCUGGUCUGAGAGGACGAUCAGCCACCGUGGGACUGAGACACGGCCCAGACUCCGGCGGGAUGCAGCAGUGGGGAAUUUAGGACAAUGGGGGAAAGCCUGAUCCAGCAAUGCCGCGUGCAGGAUGAAGGCCUUCGGGUUGUAACUGCUUUUGUACGGAACGAAAAGCCCCGGGUUAAUAGCCUGGGGUCAUGACGGUACCGUAAGAAUAAGCACCGGCUAACUACGUGCCAGCAGCCGCGGUAA
rnacentral:rRNA from 1 species